UAUCACAAAAAUUUAUUGUAAGAGUUAUAUUCGCAAACAUUGUAUUUUGACCCCUUUGUGGUAAAUUUUAAUUACUUUCUUUAUUCCCUUCGCAAGAUUUUACUUUUAACCCUUUCACUGCCAUAGGGACGGCAUAUCGUGCAUAUUAUUUUCGGAGUUUUUGCCAUAUGGACGACUUUUGCCGUUUCUAUAAUAAUAAUAAUAAUAAUAAUAAUAAUAAUAAUAAUAAUAAUAAUAAUAAUAAUAAUAAAUAUAAAGAUAAUUAUACCAUCGACAAUAAUUAUUAUAUACUAGCAGAUUUGGAAACAUAUUUAAUAUUCAGUUUAAGCGCUUGAGUUUAAACUCUUUAUUUUUACGCUAUACGUCACAGUAUUUUUGCAAUGGCCUGUAUAUUUGGCUCCUCCUCCUAACAAGUCAUUCAAUCUCGUUCGCGCAUGCUUAGUAGACUGGGUAUAUAAACCGAGCCCGCUUCUGCAUAUUCCUUUUCGACCCAGUCUCCGUCAGCUCCUGAAGCUGCCCUGAACCGACACGUAAAAAUUUUGGAGAAAAAAAUUAUGGAGCGGUUCUGAACAAACAUGGCAAAAAGACUUCAUUUUUGUGUUUUUUUAAAGUAGCCGAAGGUAGAGUUGUCUUCUAGGACUAGUAUUUUAUGACAAUAUUGUGUUAAAUUUAUCUAACAAACCAAUUUUUCAAAUUGUUAUUACGAACAAUCUAGAUCUAUUAGUAUUAGCAAUACUGGGCUGAAGGCCAGAGAAAGUCUGAGAAAAAGUGACCCUACUAAAGACAUUGUUGAAGGUUUAUUUAAAAAAAAUGGUCACGUCAUCACUAGACUUUAUGACGUAACAAAUACCUUGUGACUAGUGGAGUAUACAUUGUAAUAAAUGCCCUGACAGUAUAUCAUUGUGUUGAUGUUUAUAAAGUAUUGAUAUAAAACUUUAUCUACCCAUAAAUUAUGUUGACUGAUUGUCCAGGUAGAUCUACCCUUUAAUAUAUUAAACUUUGCUCAUAGGGAUGCUUCAUAAUGGUUAGCAAUGUCAUUCUUAGACAUUAUAAGUUGUGAUAACGUAAUGCGUUAACCUCGUAAAUUCAGCAUUUUGAUUCUGGUUAUUUUACUUUAUUUUACAAAUUGCUGUGGCCAUGCAAAACGACAAUCUAACCUGUCACAAGUUCUCUGGCUGUCAAGGCUUCUUUGAAGAGACUGGUCAACAUUAUGUUCAAGACAAUGGCACCAGAACAGAACACAGAAGUCGGAAGAACCAGCAGAAGUUGUGAUGCCUAAUUCAGCCUAAUUGUCGAUAGACAGAUAUUUGGAUAUUGAUGACCAUUUCAGACGUAGAAUGAGUACUGAUAUCAGUUACCCAGAUUCUGACCAAGUACAUGAAAUGUGUGUGAUUACAGACUUGUGUGUUAGGUUUUCAUUGUGACGCAGUCAGAUGUUUGCCGAGAAGCCUUGAAAGCUGCGCAUUGUCCCUUUAUGACUAAUGUAUGAAUGACCUUUACACAAUCACAUUUUCGCACAAUCUGACAUACCUAUAACGAAUAUACAUUCAGGUUUGACUAAGCGAUUCAGACUAAUCUUUGUGGAAGUGAAAUCAAAGGUGAAAGUCAACGCAAAGCUCCCAAAUAAAAACUCGUGAUAACUUUCACUAAUGUUAAACAUGUUUUAGUUGUCUUCCUAUUGUUACAAAUAUUCAUAAAGUGACAAAUGAUAUAGAUUGGACAAUUCUGUUUUCAUUCUAUCUUUUAUAUGAAAAAAGCACAGUGUCGGUAUCAAAUAAUGGCUCUUUAGACCGGUAAAUUAAAUAACUCUCUUCAAAUAUGUGACUUCCAUCAUCAUGUGACGUCUGUGAAGGCAGUGAUUACAAUUCUGCCAAGGGAGGUAAUCAGUGUGAGGAGUUUGAUGCCCUCACAGACGUCACAUAAUGAUGAAAGUCACAUGACGUAACGUCGAAAUUCAAAUGUAAAUAUCGACCGUUACAUAGAAAAUCUAACGUCAUUUUUCUCCUUCUGUUUUAUUUUUAACUUUUUGCACCUACG